rnacentral:lncRNA from 1 species
AGAACUAAACACUCUUUUAUGCUCUCCAUUUAUUUCCAACACACAAAGUCGAUUUUCAAACAAAUAUCUCAAUAUACACUCGACUUUAUACUUUUCUUUUUUUUCUUUUUCUUUUUCUUUUCUCUUUUUUUUUUUUUUCUUUUUUUUUCUUUUUUUUUCACAACUUUUCUAGAGCUUAUAAGAGUAAAUAGUAGCUCAAUAUCAUCCCUUCUUUUUCACAACCCACUAUGAAUAUUCACCACACGAAGAUCCCCAUAUACUUCAUCACCCCCUAUCAUCCGGCUAAAGAAUAAAAGCUAAAUAGGCUCAAAGUGGAUAACAAAGGAUAAUAUUUUUUUCAAGGAUAGUGUUUGGGAAAAAUUGUGGCUAACAAAAGAUGGCCUAAAAUCAUCUCAUAAUCCUGGGCACAACAGCAACCUCGACACAGAAACCAUGGCAAGUUCUAGAAGAUCACCACAUGCAAUGACAAAACUCACAACAAAGAAUAAACUGUGCAUGAUAAACAGUUAUAGCUCAAAUCCUCACAGGUUUAUUCAACGUCCAAAAGUCAAGGUCAAAAUCACUCUAGAAUUAUGCAAAUUAGUUCCAAUUAUACUUAAAUCAUCAAAGAAAAUCAAAUUCCAAUUUUUUUUCAUAGAAAUCAUCAUUGGCAUCUCACCAGAAAUCUAAUGGAGCAAUAAUCAUCUCAAAAACAAUCACACACCACCAACCAAGCAGGAUAAAACAAGAAAGCUAACAAAAAGAUAAAAGUGAUACACAUAUCUACUCUCACCCCCCUCCCCCAAACUUAUUACAGAACAUAAGUUCGAAAAUAAGUUUGGAGGGAUGAUGAUAUGUGUGUCACUACUCACAGAAAAACAUGCUCCAUGGUGGUGGUAUGAACCAAGCGCGAGUUCCCG